rnacentral:rRNA from 1 species
UACGAGUGGUGCAAGCGUUAUUCGGAAUCAUUGGGCGUAAAGGGCGCGUAGACGGCGCAUUAAGUCUGUUGUUAAAUCCCUCGGCUUAACCGAGGAUAUGCGGCGGAAACUAGUGUGCUUGAGGGUGGAAGAGAGAAGUGGAAUUCUCGGAGUAGCGGUAAAAUGCGUAGAUCUCGAGAGGAACACCAAUGGCGAAGGCAGCUUCUUGGUCCAUACCUGACGUUGAGGCGCGAAAGCGUGGGGAGCAAACAGG